rnacentral:rRNA from 1 species
UAUUCAGCCAACUUGGAACUGAGACUGCCAGAUCUCUACGGAAGCAGCAGUGGGGAAUUUUGGACAUUGGCGAAGCUGAUCCCAGUCAUGCGCGUGCGGGAAGAAGCUCCGGGUUGUAACCGCUUUAGUCCGGGAAAAGGGGUGCGAGGAUAAUACCCUCGUGCUUUGAUGUACUGGAAGAAUAAGCACGGCUAACUACGUGCCAGCAGCGCGGUAAUACGUAGGGUGCGAGCGUAAUCGGAAUUACUGGGCGUAAAGCGUGCGCAGGCGGUCUUGCAAGACAGUCGUGAAAGCCCCGGGCUUAACCUGGGAACUGCGAUUGUGACUGCAAGGCUAGAGUGUGUCAGAGGGGGGUGGAAUUCCACGUGUAGCAGUGAAAUGCGUAGAGAUGUGGAGGAACACCGAUGGCGAAGGCAGCCCCCUGGGAUAACACUGACGCUCAUGCACGAAAGCGUGGGGAGCAAACAGGAUUAGAUACCCUGGUAGUCCACGCCCUAAACGAUGUCAACUGGUUGUUGGAAGGGUAACCUUUUAGUAACGAAGCUAACGCGUGAAGUUGACCGCCUGGGGAGUACGGUCGCAAGAUUAAAACUCAAAGGAAUUGACGGGGACCCGCACAAGCGGUGGAUGAUGUGGUUUAAUUCGAUGCAACGCGAAAAACCUUACCUACAC